UUUGAACGCUGGCGGCAGGCUUAACACAUGCAAGUCGAGCGAGCGGCGGACGGGUGAGUAAUGUCUGGGACACUGCCUGAUGGAGGGGGAUAACUACUGGAAACGGUAGCUAAUACCGCAUACCAUCAGAUAUCCCCAGCUGGGAUUAGCUAGUAGGUGGGGUAAUGGCUCACCUAGUCGACGAUCCCUAGCUGGUCUGAGAGGAUGACCAGCCACACUGGGAGUGAGACACGGCCCAGACUCUUACGGGAGGCAGCAGUGGGGAAUAUUGCGCAAUGGGGGCAACCCUGACGCAGCCAUGCCGCGUGAAUGAAGAAGGCCUUCGGGUUGUAAAGUUCUUUCGGUAGCGAGGCGUUAACUACAGAAGAAGCACCGGCUAACUCCGUGCCAGCCGCCGCGGUAAUAC
rnacentral:rRNA from 1 species